rnacentral:tRNA from 1 species
GCCUCGGCCUGGGCGGGGGCCGUGGCCUCGACCACGGGCUCCGGCUCCGGCUCUGGUUCCGGGGCCGGCGUG